GGCCCAGGUGUGGCGUGCUGCUCAGAGGGCGGAUACAGAAACCGAGAACCGCCAAGGCCACAGAGCUAGAGAUUGUGAGGUGAACAAUCAGAGCCACUGGCCCAUGCUGUGGGCACAGCCAGCGAUGGCCCAGGGACCGCACCCAUGGGAUACGGAGGUUCCCAGGCUAGGGGGUCUAAUAGGAGCUGUAGCCACCAGCCUACACCACGGCCACAGCCACGCCAGAUCCGAACUGUGUCUGCCACCUACACCACAGCUCACCGCAACACCGGAUCCUUAACCCGCUGAGCGAGGCCUGGGAUCAAACCCGCAACCUCAUGAUUCCUAGUCGGAUUCGUUUCUGCUGUGCCAUGACGGGAAUGCCUAUAACGUUUGUCUUAUUUAAGCAUCUGUUAUUGUCAGUCUCUGUUAAAACAACUGAACUGUAUCCUAACGCAAACAUUCAACAUUGUUUAUAAAUUUGUUUUUGUUUUUGCUUUUGUUUUUGGCUGCACCCACAGCCUGUGAAAGUUCCUGUGUCAGGGAUUGAACCCACGCCACAGAUGCAGCCUGCACUGCAGCUAUGUCAAUGCCGGAUCCUUAACCCACUGAGCCACACGUGGAGUUCCGGUUUGUUUGUUUGCUUUUAAUGGAAAUGCCUAAAUGUCCCUCAAAGAGAGGAUGCGUAUAGGAGCCAGGGUAACUCCAUACAAUUAAGUACAUGAAGUCAUUGGAGAAAAGAAUGAAAUAGGAGCUCCUGCUGUGGCACCGUGGGUCAAGGAUCUGGUGUUGCUGCAGCUCUGGCAUAGGUUGCAGCUGUGGCUCAGAUUCGAUCCCUGGUCCAGAAACUUUCAUAUGCCAAAAAAAAAAAAAAAAAAAAAAAAAAAGAGAGAAUGAAAUAGACAUAUGUUCUUGAUAGACUAUUAAAAUGAAAAACGAAAGUGAUAAAACAAUGUAGAAGAUGCUGUAGUUUCUAGGUUUCCGGGGACAAGUACCUUCUUCCCUCUCCUGUAGAAACUACAGAAAUCACAUUCUGCCUUGGAUGGUGGGGUUUGAGGCUGGGGGUCUACAACAGCAGCAGCCUCUUUGUUCCAAAAGGAAAGACCCUAGAUUUGGUGAAGGCAGAGGGGAGCAAAUGCUGCAUAGAACCUAUAGAGAGACCAAAAAGAGAGGGAGAACCGGCCUGCGGGGACGCUGAGGGGCUGGGUCAAGCCUGAAUCAAAGUCAGCCUUGGAUCUGACUGUGUGCACAUACGGAGCCUUCAAACUCCAUUCGUUCAUUGGUUUAAGCGCAUUUUAGCUAGGUUUUCCUUUGCUUUAAAAAGAAGACUGAGUGAGGCCAGUGGGUUAAGUGUCCAGGAUUGCUGCAAACUGCUGCAUAGCUCACAGAAGCAGCUGGGAUCUGGUGUCGCUGUGGCUGUGGUGUAAGCCGGCAGCUGAAGCUCCGAUUUGACCCCUAGCUCGGGAACUUUCAUAUGCUGCAGGUAUGGCUCUAAAAAGAAAAAAAAAA
rnacentral:lncRNA from 1 species